GCAAGUCGAGCGAGAAACUUUAGAAAGAUACUUCGGUUGAUUUCUAAAGCGGACAGCGGCGAAAGGGAGAGUAACAAGUAGAUUACGUACCCGAGGGUCUGGGAUAGCUGCGGGAAACUGCAGGUAAUACCGGAUAAUGUUUCCGAACCAAAGAUUUAUUGCCCUCGGAGCGGUCUGCUUACUAUUAGCUUGUUGGUGGGGUAAAAGCCUACCAAGGCAAAGAUGGUUAGCGGGUGUGAGAGCAUGGCCCGUCUCACUGGGACUGAGACACUGCCCAGACGUCUACGGACGGCUGCAGUCGAGAAUCUUCCGCAAUGGGCGAAAGCCUGACGGAGCGACGCCGCGUGCGGGAUGAAGGCCUUCGGGUUGUAAACCGCUGUCAGAGGGGAGCAAAUUUUGAGCAAUCCUCAGAGGAAGCACAGGCUAAGUUCGUGCCAGCAGCCGCGGUAAUACGAACUGUGCGAACGUUAUUCGGAAUCACUGGGCUUAAAGGGUGCGUAGGCGGCUUUGUAGGUCAGAUGUGAAAGCCCACGGCUCAACCGUGGAAUUGCGUUUGAAACCACAAAGCUUGAGGGAGAUAGAGGAGAGCGGAACUGAUGG
rnacentral:rRNA from 1 species